AAGGAUCAUUCAUGAAAUGCAAGGACGCUCUUUUUAGAGGUCCGACCCAUUCAUUCCUUCACACUGUGCACACACUACUUUUACACCUUUUUAACACUGUUAUAAGAAUAAGAAUGUCAUCGUCUCUUAAUUGAGCAAUAAACUAUUAAAACUUUCGGCAACGGAUCUCUUGGCUCCC
rnacentral:misc_RNA from 1 species